UUGGAGUUUGAUUCCGGGCUCAGGACGACCGCUGGCGGCCUGCCUAAUACAUGCAAGUCGAACCGCGAAAGCACUCUGCUUGCAGAGGUGCGGAUGAGUGGCGAACGGGUGAGUUACACGUGGGAAAUCUGCCUAGGAGUGGGGGAUAACAUUCGGAAACGGAUGCUAAUACCGCAUAUCUUUUUGAACCGCAUGGUUCUUAAACGAAAGACGGCUUCGGCUGUCGCUCUUAGAUGAUCCCGCGGCGUAUUAGUUAGUUGGUGGGGUAAAGGCCUACCAAGACCAUGAUACGUAGCCGACCUGAGAGGGUGAUCGGCCACACUGGGACUGAGACACGGCCCAGACUCCUACGGGAGGCAGCAGUAGGGAAUCUUCCACAAUGGGUGAAAACCUGAUGGAGCAAUGCCGCGUGAAUGAAGAAGGUCUUCGGAUCGUAAAGUUCUGUUAUUAGAGAAGAACAAGUCAAGGAGUAACUGUCUUGACUUUGACGGUACCUAACCAGAAAGUCACGGCUAACUACGUGCCAGCAGCCGCGGUAAUACGUAGGUGACAAGCGUUGUCCGGAAUUAUUGGGCGUAAAGGGAGCGCAGGCGGUUGGAAUAGUCUGAUGUGAAAGCCCACGGCUUAACCGUGGAAGGUCAUUGGAAACUGUCCAACUUGAAUACAGAAGAGGUAAGUGGAAUUCCAAGUGUAGCGGUGAAAUGCGUAGAUAUUUGGAGGAACACCAGUGGCGAAGGCGACUUACUGGUCUGUAAUUGACGCUGAGGCUCGAAAGCGUGGGUAGCAAACAGGAUUAGAUACCCUGGUAGUCCACGCCGUAAACGAUGAGUGCUAAGUGUUAGGGGGUUUCCGCCCCUUAGUGCUGGAGUUAACGCAUUAAG
rnacentral:rRNA from 1 species